rnacentral:rRNA from 1 species
GACGAACGCUGGCGGCGUGCUUAACACAUGCAAGUCGAACGGUGAAGGGACCAGCUUGCUGGUUCUGGAUGAGUGGCGAACGGGUGAGUAACACGUGAGUAACCUGCCCCCUUCUUCUGGAUAACCGCAUGAAAGUGUGGCUAAUACGGGAUAUUCUGGGUCUGUCGCAUGGCGGGCCCGGGAAAGAUAUUGCUUCGGUGGGGGAUGGGCUCGCGGCCUAUCAGCUUGUUGGUGGGGUGAUGGCCUACCAAGGCGGUGACGGGUAGCCGGCCUGAGAGGGUGGACGGUCUCACUGGGACUGAGACACGGCACAGACUCCUACGGGAGGCAGCAGUGGGGAAUAUUGCACAAUGGGCGCAAGCCUGAUGCAGCGACGCCGCGUGAGGGAUGGAGGCCUUCGGGUUGUAAACCUCUUUCGCCAGUGAAGCAGGCCUGCUCCUUGUGGGUGGGUUGACGGUAGCUGGAUAAGAAGCGCCGGCUAACUACGU